AUUGAACGCUGGCGGCAGGCCUAACACAUGCAAGUCGAGCGGCAGCGGGAAAGUAGCUUGCUACUUUUGCCGGCGAGCGGCGGACGGGUGAGUAAUGCCUGGGAAAUUGCCCAGUCGAGGGGGAUAACAGUUGGAAACGACUGCUAAUACCGCAUACGCCCUACGGGGGAAAGCAGGGGACCUUCGGGCCUUGCGCGAUUGGAUAUGCCCAGGUGGGAUUAGCUAGUUGGUGAGGUAAUGGCUCACCAAGGCGACGAUCCCUAGCUGGUCUGGGAGGAUGAUCAGCCACACUGGAACGGAGACACGGUCCAGACUCCUACGGGAGGCAGCAGUGGGGAAUAUUGCACGAUGGGGGAAACCCUGAUGCAGCCAUGCCGCGUGUGUGAAGAAGGCCUUCGGGUUGUAAAGCACUUUCAGCGAGGAGGAAAGGUUGAUGCCUAAUACGUAUCAACUGUGACGUUACUCGCAGAAGAAGCACCGGCUAACUCCGUGCCAGCCGCCGCCGUAA
rnacentral:rRNA from 1 species